UUUUUUGGUAAAAAAAAAAAAAAUGUUUCUACACAGGGUUUUCUUUUCCUCGUGUCCCUCCCCUCGCGCUGCCCACUCUUCUCUUUUCUCUAGCUUUGCUUCCUCACGCUACUGAGGAACUGAAGCCACGCCGCCAUCGAGCACUAGUUUCGGUUCGAAGUCACUGUCCGUCCGCGUCGAUCUCAGCCUUGCCAUCCGGAUCCGAAGGGACAAUGAUGCAGAUAACUCAUCAAUUUUUUUAGGAGAUGAGGCUUCCUUUCAGAAAAAAGAAACAGAGUUGGCCAAAAGAUAAGUAUUUGUUAAGAACAAGUUUAUUAUAAUUCAAAACAAGUUUCCUGAAUUAGUUUACAUGUGUGAAGCUUCCUACUGCUUUUGAAUUGUUUUAGGAGUCAUUACGACAUGCCAUAAGGAGUCCUGAUAUAUAUGAAACAUUAUUACAUGCUGUAAUGAUUAGGUCCCCCUCUCAUAUAUAUCAAUCAAAGUUUAAUGCUAGGUGUCUUGGUACUGCCAAAUGGGGUCAAUUUGAGUCUGCUGCAUAUGCCUUGUAUGGUUGAGCUUGACUUGAUUGUAGAAAUUAAUAAAUUUAUCAAAACAAAUAAUUAAACGAUUGAACAAUCUUAUAGUGGUUAUUGAAUUUAAAAUAUAUAUUAAUUUAGGAUCAAGAUGGAUGAUCCAUUUGGUUUUUAUAUUGUUGAUUAAUGAUUCCAGUUUGCAGACCAAGAACGUCGUUAAUCAACACAAUUGAAUCCAAAAUUUUCUUAUUUUAAUAAUAAAGUAUGGUUGGUGAGAGAUUUGGGUUCAAACUCAAUAUGAUAUAAUAUAUUUGUAUGUGGAAUAGGUCCAGUUGCCUUUUUAUUUGAAAACUGUAGCUGAACGUGGAAGCAAGGAAUCUCUCAUUUGACAGCCUUAUUCAUUUUUCUUUUUUUGUUGUUGUAUUGUUGUCUUUACAAAUGGUGUAAGUGAACUUUCUACACUGGUUAUUGAACCAAGGGUGGAGCCAAGAUUUAAGAAUAAAGGGGGCCAAAAUUAAAAAACAUAUAUACUACAAAGUUUUUAUAAAUUUGAAGGGGCUGGAAGUAUGUGACACCUAUAUAAUACAAGGAAAAUUUUUAAAACUUGGGGGGCCAUCGCUCCUACUAGUCCCACUUCCCUCUGCCAGUGAUUGAACCAGUGUAAAAAAUCCACUUUUUACACUAGUUGCAAAACUGGUGAAAAAGUCAAGACUUAUUCCACUCUCUCUUUCUAUACCGGUUCCAGAACCAGUGUUUUUUGUGGUAAUGAAUAAUUAAGGAGGGGUGGUUUGUUGUCAUUUAGUGAGGGAAGAAGAGUUAGUUGAAAUGGUGAUGACAUGUAAUAAUAAAAGGAAAGAGGAGGAGCAUUUAAGGGUGUAUGGUGUAUGGAACUUCAACUUUAGAGAGACUUAGAAGUAAAGUAUCCUAGUUUCCUAUAUUAAGCCAUAACAGAAACCCAAGACAAGCCUCACCCUCCUUUUUUUUUUUUUUGUCUUUUUGUUUUUGGUACAAGCUCUUCACUCUGAAGUUGAAGUUCAAUACACCCAUUAAUACUCUCUCUCUUCUCUUCUAUUAUUACAUGUCGUCAUCAUUUUACCUAACUCUUUCUCCCUCACUAAAUGACAAGUUGACAACAAACCACCUGGCUGCUUAAUUAUUUUUCUCACUUUUACCCCAUCCAUAAAUCACUUAAUUAAUAUUUGUAUUUGCACAUAAAAUUUUGCUGGUUAAUGUACAGCCGAGAAAGUAUCUUAGCUUGUUACAUGUGAUCAUGAGGGCUUAGCUUCUUGAUUCCUAGCCUACAGGAUGAGUCCGGCCAGAUUCAGGAUAUGUAUGAGUUUUGAGGUAUAUGGGGGGUGUGUGUGUGUGUGUGCAUGUCUGAUAAUGUGUGGUUGGGCUACAUGUCAAUUUUUUUCUGGUUUUGGUUGGGCAGUGUAUGGGCAAAUUUCUGUCUUGGGGAUGUAAAUGCAAUUAUGCAAGUUGAUCAUGCACGUUCAUUGAUUGCUGGGUUGUCAUUCCAUUUAUAUAAAGCGAGACGACUGGUAAUUCAAACAUAUGCACUGCUGGCUUUCGAUCUACCACACAUGCUAAAGCUUAUUUAAUUAAAACCUAGUUCGGCAAUGCUUAGUCACUCUGAACUAUCUACAUUUUCCUCGCUCGCUGUGUUUUGUACUCUCUUGCUGUCUCUUCGGUCACGCUGCUCGUCACCAUGGUUCCUCGUUUGGCAACGCAGUUCGCCCCAGUAUGCUUUCCUGUAGUCUCUCACUCUUUCCCUUCUUCGUUUCCCACCUCUCAUCAAAUUCCUUGAUUCUUCUUCUCUUAAUCUGUUUUUUAACUGCGUAUUGCUUUUGUCUUCCAGGAUUCGCUUUCGUUAUAUUCUAACCUCGAUUCAUGUUCCUUCCCCUCUUUUCUAUACGUAUGUAUGCCUAAUUCUGUUUAUGUAAUCUGGAGUAACUCAACUUUGUUUUUAACAUCUUUCUAGGGUUCUGGAUCCUCUGGAGGCUUCUUCUUAGGCAAACCGCAAGCAUUGUAGGGUCAUAUGGACAGGAUGGAAUCUGCAGGUUGCCUUUCCUUGUGAAAAGUGUAUUUCUUUUGUUUCCGUUUCUUCUUCUUGAAUUAUUUAAUUUUAUAGCUUUCUUAAAAAAUAAAAAAAAAUAAUUGAGCUGAACUACACCGUUUCCUUGAAAAGGAUGCGGGGAAUGAAGUUAUAUGAAGUGAAACAUCUAUUUUGGCAGGCUAGAAGGGAAAAGAUCAGCGAGAGGAUGAAGAUUCUUCAAGAUUGGUCCCUCGAUGUGACAAGGCAACGAUAGUUAUUUGUGGAAUCUAUGCUGGAUUAUUGCUUUGAAUUAUUUUUUCCUUAUCAUUUCUGUAACUAAAUGAUAAUAAAUAUUAGUUGUCUUAUCCCUUCAUAGACUGUUUCCCUUAUUGAAUUUUCCCUUAUUAAAUGAUAAUAAAUGUAUUUGGUUGAAUUUUCUUUUCCUGCAGCUAAUUAGUAAAGCAUUUGUCUUUUUCUGCGGUAAAUUCGAGAAUGUACAUGAACCCCACUAUUGAAGGGUUCCCUUCAAAAGGUGUAAGCCUGCUGACUUUAACCUAUGAUAAGCAUAUUUUCUUAAAUGAAAGCCAUUUCCAAUAGCAUACAUGGGAUUGAUUUUAAGCAUAUCGUCUUUUAAGUUUAACACUGCAAUUUUUCAGCCCUGGUUAUAAAUUGCCCUUUUCAUUGUUCAAUGCUUUGAUUUUCAUGUGUUGUUCGUGUUACAUCAUUUGUGAAAGUAUACUCUUCUCAUAACUGCUAUUAAGAUUGGUUUGCUUACUCAGAUUUACUUUUAUAUUCUAGUAUAUAUGCUACUCAUGUAUGAUUCUUUGGCAUGUGUUUUCACAAUGAAAUGCUGCAGAUUUUACUUCUCUUUCAUUUAACAAUCUAAUUUUCAUUCACGAUCUAACUUAUGCAUGACGCUGAACAAAUUGUUCCAAUUCAGAGCAAAUGCUAACUUUCCUUUCACUAACAAGAGAGUAAAUGUUAUUUCUGAAAUUGAAAAAUUAAUUCAUUUGAGUAUUUCUUGGAGACUCACUGCUUCUGGCCUCAAGUUGACUCACUGCAGUGGGAACCCCUUUUCGACUUGCCAAUUUAUAUCGUCUGCAUAACAAUAUAAUCGAUCUUCAGCUUCUUCAGCUGCUAUUUAGUGACUAUUACCAACAUCGAAUUGUUGUUGAGCCAUCAUGUUUUUCCUCUUCCGGACAUAGAAGGAAGGCAGUAGAUUCUUCAAUCCCACACGUCCAAGUGCCUUGUAAAAGGUUCUGAAGGCUGAUGAUGUUGAUAUAAUAAUGACCAUUGCGACAGGAAUGCCUUGGUUUUCUGGCGCGGAGCUUGCUAACUUGGUGAACAUUGCCACUGUCAAGGCUGCGAUGGAUAGUGCUAACGUUGUGAGCAUGACUAAUUUGGAGAAUGCGAAAGACAAUUUUUAUCGGAAGUGAGCGCAAGUCAGCUGUCAUAACUAAUUUUAUGGAAACCAGACUAAUUAUUGAACAGGUUGAAAUAUUAGUUCAUGGUUUAAUGGUCAAACUGGGGAUUUAACUAAAUUAAUAUAUUUAAAUAUAAUAGAGAAGCUUAUUUUUUUU